AUCCAGUGACGACUCCCAAAUAGGACGAAAUGCGCAUCCUGGAU
rnacentral:hammerhead_ribozyme from 1 species